rnacentral:rRNA from 1 species
CGGGACGGGGUGGAGUAAUGUCUGGGAAACGUGCCUGAUGGAGGGGGGUAACUACUGGAAACGGUAGCUAAUACCGCAUAACGUCGCAAGACCAAAGAGGGGGACCUUCGGGCCUCUUGCCAUCGGAUGUGCCCAGAUGGGAUUAGCUAGUAGGUGGGGUAACGGCUCACCUAGGCGACGAUCCCUAGCUGGUCUGAGAGGAUGACCAGCCACACUGGAACUGAGACACGGUCCAG